rnacentral:rRNA from 1 species
GACGUAGGGCGCGAGCGUUGUCCGGAUUUAUUGGGCGUAAAGAGCUCGUAGGCGGCUUGUCGCGUCGGCUGUGAAAACCCGCGGCUCAACUGUGGGCGGGCAGCUGAUACGGGCAGGCUGGAGUUCGGUAGGGGAGACUGGAAUUCCUGGUGUAGCGGUGAAAUGCGCAGAUAUCAGGAGGAACACCGGUGGCGAAGGCGGGUCUCUGGGCCGAUACUGACGCUGAGGAGCGAAGGCGUGGGGAGCGAACAGG